rnacentral:rRNA from 1 species
GACGAACGCUGGCGGCGUGCUUAACACAUGCAAGUCGAACGGAAAGGCCCUGCUUGCAGGGUACUCGAGUGGCGAACGGGUGAGUAACACGUGGGUGAUCUGCCCUGCACUUCGGGAUAAGCCUGGGAAACUGGGUCUAAUACCGGAUAGGAGCCAUUUUUAGUGUGAUGGUUGGAAAGUUUUUUCGGUGUAGGAUGAGCUCGCGGCCUAUCAGCUUGUUGGUGGGGUAAUGGCCUACCAAGGCGGCGACGGGUAGCCGGCCUGAGAGGGUGGACGGCCACAUUGGGACUGAGAUACGGCCCAGACUCCUACGGGAGGCAGCGGUGGGGAAUAUUGCACAAUGGGCGCAAGCCUGAUGCAGCGACGCCGCGUGGGGGAUGACGGCCUUCGGGUUGUAAACUCCGUUCGCUAGGGACGAAGCUUUUUGUGACGGUACCUAGAUAAGAAGCACCGGCUAACUACGUG